rnacentral:snRNA from 1 species
AGCUUUUCACAGUGGCAGUAUUGUAGCCAGUGAGGUUUAUCUGAGGCAUGAUUAUUGCUAAUUGAAAACUUUUCCCAAUACCCUGCCAUGAUGACUUGAAAUAUAGUUGGCAUUGGCAAUUUUUGGCAGUCUCUAUGGGA